rnacentral:rRNA from 1 species
UACGUAGGGUGCGAGCGUUGUCCGGAAUUAUUGGGCGUAAAGGGCUCGUAGGCGGUUUGUCGCGUCGGGAGUGAAAACCUACAGCUUAACUGUGGGCUUGCUUUCGAUACGGGCAGACUAGAGGUAUGCAGGGGAGAACGGAAUUCCUGGUGUAGCGGUGAAAUGCGCAGAUAUCAAGAGGAACACCUGCGGCGAAGGCGGGUUGCUGGGCCGACACUGACGCUGAGGCGCGAAAGCGUGGGGAGCGAACAGG